rnacentral:rRNA from 1 species
CCUACGGGGGGCAGCAGUCGAGAAUCAUUCACAAUGGGGGAAACCCUGAUGGUGCGACGCCGCGUGGGGGAAUGAAGGUCUUCGGAUUGUAAACCCCUGUCAUGUGGGAGCAAAUUAACAAGAUAGUACCACAAGAGGAAGAGACGGCUAACUUUGUGUCAGCAGCCGCGGUAAUACAGAGGUCUCAAGCGUUGUUCGGAAUCACUGGGCAUAAAGCGUGCGGAGGCUGUUUCGUAAGUCGUGUGUGAAAGGCGCGGGCCCAACCCGCGGACGGCACAUGAUACUGCGAGACUAGAGUAAUGGAGGGGGAACCGGAAUUCUCGGCGUAGCAGUGAAAUGCGUAGAUAUCGAGCGGAACACUCGUGGCGAAGGCGGGUUCCUGGACAUUAACUGACGCUGAGGCACGAAGGCCAGGGGAGCGAAAGGGAUUAGAUACCCGUGUAGUC